UCACACGCACAGGGGCAUCGAGUGUGCACUGCUGCGGGAAUCCACGGACACGUUUGCACGUUCCUGGUUCUGGCUCUUGUUCUCGCUGGCCUUAUGCUCAGCUAGGUGUCAGUCCCCGGGGAGGAACCCCAGGAUUCUGAGCGACUCGCUUGACUAGCCGCGGGUGCCCACUCUGAGCUGUAUCCACACACCCAGUUCUGGUGAAGUUACAAGGUGGUGCAAACGAACUCUCCGGUGCUGGAGAGUGCAAGCAGUGCCCAUUCCCCAAGGAUAAACAUGAAAGUAUACGUUUUGAUAUUAAUCAACACGCUGUCACAAGGAAUAGGUUGUUUAUUUUCCGGUCCAGCCCCUUAAGCCAAAGACUAGAAUAACACUCUAGAGGCUUCCUGGUAAUGAAUGACCCAAGAGUAAGGCCACUGGAACCCGAGGGGAAGGUUCCUUGUCCACCCCCUAAGGUAUGCUACAGUGCCUUCCAGCGAGGAAAUAGGAGUGCAGGUCCCCAGAGUGACUGACACAGAGGCAUGCUCGGAGCAGUGAGGAGAGUCCAUGUCUAACGGUCCAUUCUCCUAGCCCUAGAGGCUCUUGCUGAGAGAUGGGUUCUACCUUUAAGCGGGUAGCUAGCUGGAAAAGCAGCCAGCAAACAUGGCUAAGCCUUUUCCAGCUGCAGUGAAUUGACCAUCCGCCAAACCCAAGCUCUAACCGCUGCAGUUUAAAAUGAUUUUAGCGUCACGUCUGCGGCAGAGAAUGGAGCGGCAGAGCAGAAAAAGAACCUGUGGAUCAAUGAAAAGGGGCUCGUAGCGUAUCCGAAUAUUAAUACACUGUGGCCAUCUGUGCUUCCGCCCCUCCUCCUUUCUUCGGAUCUACAACGUUAAAAUGCAUUUUUUCCCCUAGCUCCCCAAGCUGACUCAUCAGAAACCUAGAGCCUUGUUUUAAAAAAAAAUUACACACGACGGUAAUGCUUUAAUAUGUUUAUUUGUACUAGCGGAACAAUUUUGUGUGUGUGCAUGUUUAUGUGUCAGAGACAAGCGCGGCGGCGGAAUGACAGUGCAGAAGCAAAUGCAUUGGGGGAGCGGGUUUACGUCUCGCAAAGGAGCUUGAAGUUUGAGCUGACUUAGGGCGUUUGCAAAAAGCCAGCGAGCUUCCCGAGGUGGAGAUGAGAACGUGGAGAGAUGGCCAGAUUUCCCUGUAAAUAAUCAGUGCAUCCACUGUAACACUUGAGCUCCUUUUUUUUUUUUUUUUUUUUUUUUUGGUGGCAGCUGUGUUGGGUAUCUUCUCCAGAAACGUGGGUUACAGGCGUCUCCUAGCGGCGAAAGUAGCAUAUGGCAAGCAAGAGAGCUUUGUCGUGUAUCCCGCUUUUGGUAGGGCUUGCCUGUUGGGGGCUCUGCUGGAUUUCGCGGGUCACAGGUUGGCGUCCAGGCCAGCAAAGCAAAGCCAGGCUCCUCCACGGGUCUGACCUCACUGACUUUUAGUCUCUGAGGCGCCAGCCCUUGCACUGCAGGGGUGACAGUAGAGUCUUCAUAGCCAAAUAAGAGCGAUCCAGGGCCUCUGCUUUCCCCGAGAAAACUCCAUCGAAGGAAGACUCCAACAGCAGUUUCUUCGCGUCCAACAUUUGCAGAUACUAUGGAAAACAGGAAGAUAACCCAACCCAACCCAAACAGAAAGCACCAAAAUAUGUGAAAUCCGUAUAGCAGAGACGAUGAGCUUUUCUGGGAGGUGAUACUGAAUGAAGAGUAGUUCUCUCCAGGGAAUCACUUCAAGAUCAUACCUCUUACCUGAUGCUGCUGAUCUUGGAUAUUAGAGAUGUGGAAAGGGGCAAGGAAGUCUCACAAUUUUGGAUGUCUCCCUUGAAAAACCUUCAUCCAGGGACUGAUGGAAGCAGAGACAGAUACCUACAGCUAAACACCGAAC